UUACGACCAUAUCGCAUUGAAACACCGGUUAUCCUACGAUCACAGAAGUUAAGCAUGAUUGAGCUUGGUCAUUAUUUAGAUAGGUGGCUCCUUGAGAAUUCCAAGUGCAGUA